rnacentral:lncRNA from 1 species
GGAUUUCACUACGAGGAUGUCAUGUUAGAAGUAUGUCCAAUAUGUAUGUUUUUUUUUGACACGGUUACAAUAGAAAUAUGUUAGAAGCUGUCAACGAAGAAAAUCAUGUGUAAACAUAUACUUGCCUUCCUCUAGCGUCGACAAGGCACCAACCCAGUCGGUGUGUUUUGGUUCUCGAGUUUGCGGUCGAUGUAGUCUGUUGCUCCAUAUACACAUGCUCCGAAUGCAGUUGUGAGGGCAUUGACACCUUCCUGGAUCAGCUUAACACCUUAUUUAGCUUAACACUAGUCUAUUAGGACUUGGAAACAGAGGGGGUCAUUAUAGGUUUAGCCAAUUUUAGAGUUUCGGAUGUAAAUGAGUAUUACACCAUUUAGCAUUGCAGUACACACAAGUUUAGCAUGACCACUACGUGGCAAAAUAAAGUUUGCAUUCUUGAACGGGUGACAUGGUCAAAAUAGUAUUAUUAUUUUUCACGAACUUCAUUGCAGAAGAACAUGACGAUGUGUCAUUUCGUCAGAG